CAGUCGCCGCGGUAAUACGUAGGGUGCGAGCGUUAAUCGGAAUUACUGGGCGUAAAGCGUGCGCAGGCGGUUCGUUAAGACAGAUGUGAAAUCCCCGGGCUUAACCUGGGAACUGCAUUUGUGACUGGCGAGCUAGAGUAUGGCAGAGGGGGGUAGAAUUCCACGUGUAGCAGUGAAAUGCGUAGAGAUGUGGAGGAAUACCGAUGGCGAAGGCAGCCCCUUGGGAAAGUACUGACGCUCAUGUGCGAAAGCGUGGGGAGCAAACAGGAUUAGAUACCCCGGUAGUCCCUGUCUCUUAUAC
rnacentral:rRNA from 1 species